rnacentral:rRNA from 1 species
AGCUAUGUUCGGAAAAGAUAACCGCUGAAAGCAUCUAAGCGGGAAACUUGCCUCAAGAUGAGAUCUCACUGGGAACUCGAUUCCCCUGAAGGGCCGUCGAAGACUACGACGUUGAUAGGCUGGGUGUGUAAGCGUUGUGAGGCGUUGAGCUAACCAGUACUAAUUGCCCGUGAGGCUUGACCAUAUAACACCCAAACA